UUUCCAGACUCCUACGGGAGGCAGCAGUGAGGAAUAUUGGUCAAUGGCCGAGAGGCUGAACCAGCCAAGUCGCGUGAGGGAUGACGGCCCUACGGGUUGUAAACCUCUUUUGCCGGGGAGCAAAAAGCGGUACGCGUACCGCAUCGAGAGUACCCGGAGAAAAAGCAUCGGCUAACUCCGUGCCAGCAGCCGCGGUAAUACGGAGGAUGCGAGCGUUAUCCGGAUUUAUUGGGUUUAAAGGGAGCGUAGAUGGGUUGUUAAGUCAGUUGUGAAAGUUUGCGGCUCAACCGUAAAAUUGCAAUUGAUACUGGCAGCCUUGAGUACAGUUGAGGUAGGCGGAAUUCGUGGUGUAGCGGUGAAAUGCUUAGAUAUCACGAAGAACUCCGAUUGCGAAGGCAGCUUACUAAACUGCCACUGACAUUGAUGCUCGAAAGUGUGGGUAUCAAACAGGAUUAGAUACCCUAGUACUA
rnacentral:rRNA from 1 species